rnacentral:rRNA from 1 species
AUGGCCUCCGCGGCCGCAGCGGCGCCGGCGCCGCUGUCNNNNNNNNNNNNNNNNNNNNNNNNNNNNNNNNNNNNNNNNNNNNNNNNNNNNNNNNNNNNNNNNNNNNNNNNNNNNNNNNNCAAGGCGCACUCCAAGCUCUCCCACACCGCCAAGUCCAUCCUCGAACGCAUCCAAAGGCCCCCGCCCUCCUCGCCCACCGCGGCGCAGACCCCGUCCACCCCCACCUCGCCCUCCACGCCGACUUCCUCCUCCUGGCAGCCGGGCCCGCUCCGCAACCUCUCGCUGGAGGACUCGGAGCUGCUCCUCUCCCCCAUCUCCUCCGCGCUUGGCUCCGGCAGCGCCAAGCUCGUCGAGGCGGCGCUCGAGCUACUCCACAGGCUGAUCGCGCACUCCUACAUCCAUGGGGAGGCCGACCCGUCGGCUGACCCCUCGUCACAGCUCGUCGCUUCCCUGCUCGAGGCUGCCUGCAAUGCGCUCCACCUCGACGACGAGCACAUUGAGCUCCUCCUCCUCAAGACUCUCCUCUCUGCGGUCACAUCCACCUCCGUGUGCCUCCAUGGCGACUGCCUGCUCCGCGCUGUGCGCGCCUGCUAUGAUAUGUAUCUGGGUAGCCGUAGCACCGUGAAUCAGGCCACUGCCAAGGCGUCGCUCGUGCAGAUGUUGGUAAUCGUCUUCCGCAGAAUGGAGGCAGAUUCAUCCACGAUCCCCGUGCAACCCAUCGUCGUGGCUGAAGUGAUUGAGUUGCCUGAUGCUGGUUCAGGUGCAUCACCCACCGCCGAUGCCACCUUCGUACAGGGAUUCAUCUCGAAGAUCAUAGGGGACAUUGAUGGUGCACUCACACCUCUGACACGGACAACCUCGUCUGCCGCGGCAGGCACUGUGCCCCAUGAUGGCGCUUUUGAGACGACCGCAGCAGCUGAGGAAGGAGCAAAUCCUGCGGACUUGCUUGAUUCAACGGAUAAGGACAUGCUGGAUGCCAAGUACUGGGAGAUUAGCAUGUACAAGACAGCUCUUGAGGGUCGUAAGGAUGAGCUUGGUGUGGAGGGGGCAGUGGUAGCCACUUUGGAUGAUGAUGCUGAUUUCAGGAUUGGGAAUAAGCUGCGGAGGGAUGCUUUCUUAGUUUUCCGGGCAUUAUGUAAGCUCUCGAUGAAGACACCGCCGAAGGAUGCACCAGCUGAUCCGAUAGUGAUGCGGGGGAAGAUCCUUGCUCUUGAACUUCUCAAGAUCUUGCUUGAAAAUGCUGGGGCUGUGUUCCGCACCAGCGAGAGGUUUCUAGGUGCUAUCAAGCAGUAUUUGUGCCUAUCACUUUUGAAGAACUGUGCCUCGUCACAUAUGAUUGUUUUUCAGUUAUCUUGUUCUAUUUUUAUUAGCUUGGUUUCAAGAUUUAGGCCAGGAUUGAAGGCAGAAAUUGGAGUAUUUUUUCCCAUGAUCAUUCUGAGAGUUCUGGAAAAUAUUGCACAACCAAAUUUUCAAGCAAAGAUGAUAGUUCUUCGUUUUUUGGAGAAGCUCUGUACUGAUUCUCAAAUCUUGGUUGACAUUUUCAUCAAUUACGACUGUGAUGUCCACUCGUCGAACAUAUUUGAGAGGAUGGUCAACGGUCUGCUUAAAACAGCUCAAGGGCCUCCUGCGGGUAUCGCUACCACAUUGGUACCGCCUCAGGAUACCACAAUGAAGAGUGAAGCAAUGAAAUGCUUAGUUUCUAUCCUCAGAUCCAUGGGAGAUUGGAUGAAUAAGCAGCUACGUAUUCCAGAUCCUGACUCUCCUAAGAUUGAAUCAGAGCAAAACGAUAAUGAUGGUGGAAAUGAGUUUCCCCAGACAGAUAUCAAUGGAGAUGCUUCUAGCGAGGUAUCCGAUUCACAUUCAGAAGUAUCAAAUGGGGUUUCAGAGGCUGCAUCUUUGGAGCAGCGUCGAGCUUACAAAAUGGAACUUCAGGAGGGUAUCGCUCUGUUUAACCGGAAGCCUAGAAAGGGAAUUGAAUUCUUAAUAAAUGCCAACAAGGUCGGGGAGUCAGCUGAGGAUAUAGCUGCUUUCCUGAAAAGUACUUCUGGCUUGAACAAGACUAUGAUUGGUGAUUAUUUAGGGGAAAGGGAAGAUUUAUCCCUCAAAGUCAUGCAUGCAUAUGUGGAUUCUUUUAAUUUUCAAAAUAUGGAAUUUGAUGAAGCGAUCAGAGCCUUUCUUCAAGGUUUUAGGCUUCCUGGAGAAGCUCAAAAGAUUGAUCGGGUUAUGGAGAAAUUUGCAGAGCGUUACUGCAAAUGCAACCCAAAGGCCUUUUCGAGUGCAGACACAGCUUACGUUCUUGCUUAUUCAGUCAUAAUGCUUAACACUGAUGCACAUAACCCAAUGGUCAAAAAUAAGAUGUCGCCAGAAGAUUUCAUAAGAAACAAUCGUGGUAUUGAUGAUGGGAAAGACCUACCAGAAGAAUUUAUGAGGUCCUUGUAUGGAAGGAUUUGGAAAAAAGAAAUUAAGAUGAAAGAAGACGAAUUUGUUCCUCAUCAGCAACAAUCAACAAGCUCUAACAAAAUUCUUGGGUUGGAUAACAUUCUAAACAUUGUUAUACGCAAACGAGGUUCAGCUAUGGAGACAAGUGAUGAUCUCAUUAAGCAUAUGCAGGAGCAAUUCAAAGAAAAGGCUCGUAUGUCUGAGUCAGUAUUUUAUCCAGCCACGGAUGUAGUAAUUUUGAAGUUCAUGGUCGAGGUUUGCUGGGCUCCUAUGCUUGCUGCCUUCAGUGUGCCACUUGACCAGAGUGAUGAUGAAAUUGUCAUAUCCCAGUGUCUUGAGGGAUUUCGCUGUGCAAUACAUGUCACCGCAGCUAUGUCGAUGAAGACUCAAAGGGAUGCUUUCAUUACAUCGCUUGCCAAGUUUACAUCACUUCACUCUGCUGCGGAUAUCAAGCAGAAAAAUAUUGAAGCAAUUAAGGCAAUUCUGUUGAUUGCAGAUGAAGACGGAAAUUACUUGCAAGAAGCAUGGGAGCAUAUAUUGACCUGUGUUUCUCGUUUUGAGAAUCUACAUCUUGUAGGUGAAGGUGCUCCUCCAGAUGCCACUUUCUUUGCACUGCAACAGCCAGACCUUGAUAAAUCAAAACAGGCUAAAUCCUCGAUUAUUCCUGGUUUGAAAAAGAAGGCUCCAAAUGCUGGUGCCGCUUCUAAAAGAGGUACUUAUGACAGCGCUGGUGUUGGCGGAAAAGCUUCUGGUGUUGAUCAAAUGAAUAAUGCGGUGACAAUCCUCUUGGAGCAAGUCGGGAUGGCUGAAAUGAAUCGUGUAUUCAUAAGAAGUCAAAAUCUCAACAGUGAGGGUAUAAUUGAUUUUGUAAAGGCCCUUUGUAAGGUUUCAAUGGAGGAAUUGCGGUCUGCUUCUGAUCCACGUGUUUUUAGCCUGACUAAGAUUGUUGAAAUCACGCAUUACAAUAUGAACCGCAUCAGGCUUGUCUGGUCAAGCAUAUGGCACGUCUUGUCUGAAUUUUUUGUUACCAUUGGCUGCUCAGAAAAUCUUUCAAUUGCAAUAUUUGCUAUGGAUUCAUUGCGACAGCUGGCAAUGAAGUUCCUGGAGCGAGAAGAACUGGCCAACUACAAUUUCCAAAAUGAAUUUAUGAAGCCUUUUGUUGUUGUAAUGAGGAAGAGUAGAGCUGUUGAGAUAAGAGAACUAAUCAUCAGGUGUGUAUCCCAAAUGGUACUGGCCCGCGUUAAUCAUGUGAAGUCAGGGUGGAAAAGCAUGUUUAUGGUUUUUGCAACGGCAUCAUAUGAUGAUCAUAAAAACAUUGUACUCUUGGCCUUCGAAAUUAUCGAGAAGAUUUUGCGAGAUUAUUUCCCCUACAUUACCGAGACUGAGUCGUCAACUUUCACUGAUUGUGUGAACUGUCUUAUUGCGUUCACCAACAGUAGGUUUAACAAGGAUAUAGGCCUUAAUGCAAUUGGUUUUCUUCGAUUCUGUGCGGCAAAGCUGGCAGAAGGUGACAUCGGGUCCUCUUCGAGGCUGAAGGAGCCCUCGCCUCAUUUGACCAAGGAUGGAAAGCAGGAAGGUGCAAUUCAGGUUGAUAAGGAUGAUCAUAUACACUUCUGGUUUCCUUUAUUAGCAGGAUUGUCUGAACUUACUUUCGACCUUAGACCAGAAAUUAGGAAAAGUUCCUUGCAGGUGUUAUUUGACACAUUAAGAAACCAUGGCCAUGUUUUCUCUCUUCCUUUGUGGGAGAAGGUGUUUGAUUCAGUACUUUUCCCAAUAUUUGAUUAUGUACGGCAUGCUAUUGAUCCAUCUGGUGGUUCUUCACAAGGACAAAAUGCGGAAAAUGAUCCUGCAGAGCUUGAUCAAGAUGCUUGGAUGUAUGAAACGUGCACGUUGGCCCUUCAGCUAGUUGUAGACCUUUUCGUCAAGUUCUAUGACACUGUCCAUCCACUUCUGAAGAAAGUUCUUUCACUCUUGACAAGUUUCAUUAAGCGUCCCCAUCAGAGUCUUGCUGGUAUAGGCAUUGCUGCAUUUGUUCGCCUGAUGAGCAGUGCUGGCUCUGUCUUCGUGGAUGAAAAAUGGCUGGAAGUCGUGUUGUCUUUGAAAGAAGUUACCACAGAGACGCUUCCUGACUUCUCUUAUAUCGCAUCUGGAGCUUACCUUGAAAGUGUACCAAUAGAAAAUGGAGACUCUUCAGAUAAGAGAGAACACGAAUCUCAACCAUCAGAGGAUGGUACUGAAGAAACCUCUAGAUCAAGGAACCUGUAUUUUGCAAUUGCUGAUGCCAAGUGCCGAGCUGCUGUCCAACUCCUAUUGAUUCAGGCUGUGAUGGAGAUAUAUAACAUGUACAGAGCUCAGUUGUCGGCACAGAACACAGUAAUCCUCUUUGAGGCCUUGCAUACUGUUGCCACUCAUGCUCACAAGAUAAACAGUGACAACGACCUGCGGACCAAGCUGCAGGAGCUGGGCUCUAUGACCCAAAUGCAGGAUCCGCCAUUACUACGCCUUGAGAACGAGUCAUAUCAGUUGUGCCUCACUAUCCUCCAGAAUAUAUUCUUGGACAGAGCUCCAGAUGAAGGGAGCUUAGAGGUCGAAACCCACCUUGUUGGACUUUGCAAGGAGGUUCUUGAGGUAUACUUGAGCACAGCAAGGCCUGCUCACCUUUCUGGCGGUAUACAGCCGCUUGGUCAUUGGUUUAUUCCGGUCGGUUCGUCAAAGCGGAGGGAGCUUGCAGCCAGGGCACCGCUUGUUGUGUCAACAUUGCAAGCUAUCAGCGGUCUUGGCGACUCAUCGUUCGAGAAGAACCUUGGCCAGUUCUUCCCCCUACUAGCUGGUCUCAUCAGCUGUGAGCAUGGUUCAGGUGAAGUGCAGGUGGCCUUGAGUGAUAUGUUUAGCACUUGGGUUGGCCCAAUCGUGCUUCAGUCAUGUUGA